rnacentral:rRNA from 1 species
UAGAGAGACUGCCAGGGAUAACCUGGAGGAAGGUGGGGAUGACGUCAAAUCAUCAUGCCCCUUAUGCUUAGGGCUACACACGUGCUACAAUGGGUAGUACAGAGGGUUGCCAAGCCGUAAGGUGGAGCUAAUCCCUUAAAGCUACUCUCAGUUCGGAUUGUAGGCUGAAACUCGCCUACAUGAAGCUGGAGUUACUAGUAAUCGCAGAUCAGAAUGCUGCGGUGAAUGCGUUCCCGGGUCUUGUACACACCGCCCGUCACACCACGGGAGUUGGAGACGCCCGAAGCCGAUUAUCUAACCUUUUGGAAGAAGUCGUCGAAGGUGGAAUCAAUAACUGGGGUGAAGUCGUAACAAGGUAGCCGUAUCGGAAGGUGCGGCUGGAUCACCUCCUUUCUAAGGAGA